ensembl:miRNA gga-mir-1645 gga-mir-1645
UCUGACAGUCCUUCUCACUCAGUAGCAGAGGCUUAUUCUGGUCAUCUGCUGAAGUACUGUCAGA